CCGCCAGGCCUCGCCCUGCCCCCGCCCGCGCGGACACCUGAUGAAGCCGUCACCGCGGGGGAAGGGGACGCCCGAGACGUCUCUCGGCCGAGACCCGAUGAGACAGGCGCGCAGAGACGCCGAGGGGCGGCGAGAAGACAGUUCCGGGGCCGCGGAGUCAGGGUCCUCGAGAGGGAGUGGAGGGGAGGGUCUGACCCGCAGCCGAGGGAGCUCCCAACUGUGAAUCCGACCCUAGUGCUGUGUCCAAGAGGCCGGCGCGGGUGGGAGAGGGGGGCGGCUGCCCGGAGGACCAGGCAGGGUUUUCAGGCAUCCGAGGGAGGUUAGAGGUGG
rnacentral:lncRNA from 10 species